rnacentral:rRNA from 1 species
GACGAACGCUGGCGGCGUGCCUAAUACAUGCAAGUAGAACGCUGAAGAGAGGAGCUUGCUCUUCUUGGAUGAGUUGCGAACGGGUGAGUAACGCGUAGGUAACCUACCUUGUAGCGGGGGAUAACUAUUGGAAACGAUAGCUAAUACCGCAUAACAAUGGAUGACCCAUGUCAUUUAUUUGAAAGGGGCAAAUGCUCCACUACAAGAUGGACCUGCGUUGUAUUAGCUAGUAGGUGAGGUAACGGCUCACCUAGGCGACGAUACAUAGCCGACCUGAGAGGGUGAUCGGCCACGCUGGGACUGAGACACGGCCCAGACUCCUACGGGAGGCAGCAGUAGGGAAUCUUCGGCAAUGGGGGCAACCCUGAACGAGCAACGCCGCGUGAGUGAAGAAGGUUUUCGGAUCGUAAAGCUCUGUUGUAAGUCAAGAACGAGUGUGAGAGUGGAAAGUUCACACUGUGACGGUAGCUUACCAGAAAGGGACGGCUAACUACGUG